UCUCCUGAGGUCCUGUCGGCAUUGUCUUCUCCAGUUGCGGCGCCAUCUCCUGAGGUCUCCUCACCGUCUUCUUCCUCCAACAGAAACUGCCACCUCCUCCACCCGUUCCGGCCAGCUAACGAAGGAAGAAGCAAAUUAGACAUGUUUUAAA